UUUGCUGAUAUGGAGGCUGCAUAAAAUAAGGCGCCAUCAUGGAUCUAUAAAGACCUGGAGGAGCCACGGAAAACCUCAGAGGACCCGGAGCUCCUCGGUGGCUACCGGUAUGUUUGCUGCGGGUGCUCCUUUGUGUUCCAUGAGGGGUUCCCCUAAUUCCAUUCGGUACCAUUGUCUGCAUCGGAAUGCCAUUCGGCGCAUUUCCGUUCAUAUCAUAUUUUGGUUUGGGUAGGGGUUUCCGGUACCGCGGUUUUGGAGGUUCUCUCGGUGCUGAGUAUCUAAAAAUAAUACAGAUAAAAUUUUGUUCAGACUUAAAAUAUAAAAAAUUAUAAAAUUCGUGCAACGAUAAAUAUUUUGCACAUAAACUGUAGCUGAUUUUUUCUACAAGUAAUAAGUGACACGAUAUUGGCGUGCUGUUUAGUCAGACGUUACUAAAAUAAUGUAACAUUC
rnacentral:sRNA from 1 species